AUGAGAGACACAAAUAUGGGGAAACAGAAGGGAAGUAAGAAAUUGUGCUGCAUAUCUUCUGCUUGCCCUUGCAGAUCUCAUCUCUGCUGUUCCCCACCCUGCCUCAUGCCCCAGGAGGCUGACCUGUAUAGACUCCAUCAAGAGACUCUCCUGAGCUUUGGCUUCCAGUUGACUUGGCUAACGGCUACUGGGGAGCUCGGUGAAAACUCAGACCUGACCCUGCCACGUAGCAUGAUGGCCAGGCCUGCAGAGCUGGACAGCCCGAACUUCUCGCUGGCUCUCAAGGUCGGCAGGGAGGGAGGGAGGGUCAGAGGCAGGAUUGACAAACGUGAAGAUAAACAUUUUAAAAAGCUUGUUCAGCAAAAUUGCUGUCAAUCAAGUUGAAAGAUGAGGUGAAGUUUUGUUUUGAGUUUUGUUGCUGUCUAUUGCCAAGGGUUAACACCCGAGAUCAACAACCCCCACUUUAUAAAUCAAUAAGAAGGCGACAAACGAGACAUGGUAAAAUGAUCAGGAGAUGUGCACAGAAGAUACUGUGCAUGCAACCUCGCUAAUACUCACGGAAUGAAAACUAAUGCAAUGCUUUGACUAAGACUGGCAAAAAGUCGAACACCGACUAUCAGCAAGCAGGUGUCCUGUGGUGGGAGAGUGAAUGGAUCUGCAGUUUUGGAAGAUUCUGUCAAUCUCAAUUAAAAGGCAAUAUCGAUAUCAAAGCUUAAGAUAUACAGUUUUCCCAAGCAACUCCAUUUCUAGAAGUCUGUCCUAAAGGAAAACUGAAUUCAUGAUGCCGGGAGCAGGAGGAGCAUCUGGUGCUGCAGAAGACAUAGGUGGGACUGUUUCCACCCUCCUUGGGGUUGAUCCCCUGGUCCCUGGAAUGGAAAUGCCUCCUCCCCACCAAGGUCUGCCCAAGGUGUACCUCCUCCUGGCCAUUUGUAAAACACUGGGGUACAGCAGGACCUGGAGGGGCUCUCUCACCCAUAAGACAGGUCUCAGCAGAAUCUCCAUGAAACCCCAACCCCCAGAAAGCCUCCAGGUCCCCCAGAAGGUCCCCUCCCCCAAACGUUCACUGUCUUUGUUCACUGUUGCAUAUAACAGCACUAGAGUUCCUUGCCUAAAAUUCAAAUUCCCGAACUCAGAAAAUUAAACAUUUUUUCACCCACAGCUUUGCAGCAACCUCACUGGAUAGCAGACACUGGGCCACACUGACGUGAUGCAAUUUGUGGGACCUGGUGUGACUGUUUGUCUGCUUCUGUAGCAGGGAUGCUAAUCUAUUUCAUUCUGCAUCUGCCCAGACCUGCUAAGGGUGUUCUUGGAAUAUGCAGUGUGUAUAUCGUAUUACUUUUAAAAAAUAUAAAAUAUUCUGAUUUUUGAAGCACAUCCCUUCCCAAAACUUUUCAUUUUUAAAGUUUUAAGUAUUAAAAUAACUCAAGGUAUUUUAACUCACAAUGAAGUGCACAGAUCUUUGCUGUAGAGCUGGUGGGAAGUAGAAUAGUUCCUUUUUAACAUUUCCUUUCUUGUUACAGAAUAAGUGUGCUAAUAACUCUUUGUUAAGCCCUAUCCUAUGUAGCUGUUAAACAUGCCGUGCUUACAGGCACAUAGUACUUUCUGUGUCCUUGUGCUUUAACCAGGAUAUCUGUGCUGGACAUGAUUACAGGCAUGUCCCAGCUCUCCAGCUUUUACCUGUUUAGAAAAGUUUUAAGUUGAGCUGGGUGCGGUGGCUCAAGUCUGUAAUCCCAGCCCUUUGGGAGGCUGAGGCGGGUGGAUCAUGAGGUCAAGAGAUCGAGACCAUCCUCAUCAACAUGGUGAAACCCCGUCUCUACUGAAAAUACAAAAAAGUAGCUGGGCAUGGUGGCGCAUGCCUGUAAUCCCAGCUACUCAGGAGGCUGAGGCAGGAGAAUUGCCUGAACCCAGGAGGCGGAGGUUGCAGUGAGCCAAGAUCGCGCCAUUGCACUCCAGCCUGGGUAACAAGAGCGAAACUCCGUCUCGAGAGAAAAAAAAAGUUUUAAGUUGUUAAUCAGUUGGGUUUUAGUUUAAAUUGUGAGAUCUGGCUCCAGCCAAUGGAGAUCAGACACAGCAGUAAGAACAAUUCCAAAUGUGUAAGGUAUACAUUUGUGUGUUUUCCUUUGUUCCUUGUACUCUUGUGGCAAGAUGGCUAGCAAAGGUACCCUUCCUGCAGUCCAGGACGUAAAAUAAAAACUGCGUUGCUGAAAGAUCCUUUGUCUCA
rnacentral:lncRNA from 13 species